GGAAGCGGCACGUGGGGCGGCGCUCUACGGUGGCCGAGGGACAGCGGCUGCUCUCUGAGCUCUAAAUCCAGAAGCGCCCGGGAAGCUGCAGCCACAGUGGUUUCUGUAGUCGGAGGCCUGAGAAGGGCGCCCAGCUGCCAGCAUCAUGGUUGAAGGAGCGGUUCUGGGAGACGGAUGUAGCUAAGAAAAUGGAAGACGCGGCCAUUGGCAGAGGCUGAGGUCCCGGCCCCAGAGGGUUCCAGGAGAACUUGAAUACCUUAGUUGUUCUGAAUUUGUUGAAGCACAUCCCAGAAGCUGGAAAGCCCUCUGAUUGAUUCUCACCCGACUUUUGGGUGAGAUCCUAAAUGAUGCUAUUAAAAAGCACCGGAUCUCAGGAGCCAAGACGCAGAUGAUCAUGGAAGACUGGGAUUUCCUGCAGCUGCAGUGUGCCCUCUACAUCAACAGUGAGCUCUCUGACAUCCCCCUCAACAUGGCCCCCAAGAAGUGGACUUGAGGCUUUGUCCAGUGCCUGAAGGGGAAGCAGGGCAGUGUUUCCAUGUCAGAGCGAACCUGCUCUCAGUAAGAACGAGCUCAUCUUGACCACUGAGGCCAUCAUGAAGAAGAACGAGUUCCUCUGCUGCCAAGACAGCUUCCUGCAGG